CUGGUUAUUUAAGCACUAAGGUGUGUUAGCUGACUGUUUUGGUCAUGGGAGCAGGAUGUUCUUCCUUAUUUAUAGUCUUCUAUCAUUGCUGACUUUUUCCUUAUUUCACUUUCCAUUAUAACUGACAGUUCUUAUUUUUGCACUGCCAGUGGGUACGCUUUUUGGAAGAUGGGUCUGUGAAUUACAUAGUUGGAGCGAAGCAACCUGACUAUCUGGUUACUGCUGAUGAUGUUGAUUCAUACCUUGCCAUUGAAGUAGAGCCCCUUGAUGGCAGGAACAGGAUGGUCAAGUGGAGCUUGCUGCCGUAGGAGUUUGCAUUGCUGUAUUUAAUCAAGUAUCAAGGGUUCCUAUCUUCAGAGGAUUUUUUUGACGCUACUCGCGCUGGGAGUACCAUAUAGAGGAUUUUUUAUAUAUAUAAAAUUAUUUAAGACCAUUUUCAAUUUAUUAUAUAAAAUAUUAUAUAUAUUUUUUAUUGUGAAGUAAUAUAGAUUUUGUUUAAUAUUUAGUUUAAAUUGUAUUGCAACAUUUUUUAUGUUUCAAAUAUUAAAAAAAUACUAUGUUGAAAUU